AGUGAACGCUGGCGGUAGGCCUAACACAUGCAAGUCGAACGGCAGCACAGUAAGAGCUUGCUCUUACGGGUGGCGAGUGGCGGACGGGUGAGGAAUACAUCGGAAUCUUCUUUUUCGUGGGGGAUAACGUAGGGAAACUUACGCUAAUACCGCAUACGACCUACAGGUGAAAGCAGGGGAUCUUCGGACCUUGCGCGAUUGAAUGAGCCGAUGUCGGAUUAGCUAGUUGGCGGGGUAAAGGCCCACCAAGGCGACGAUCCGUAGCUGGUCUGAGAGGAUGAUCAGCCACACUGGAACUGAGACACGGUCCAGACUCCUACGGGAGGCAGCAGUGGGGAAUAUUGGACAAUGGGCGCAAGCCUGAUCCAGCCAUACCGCGUGGGUGAAGAAGGCCUUCGGGUUGUAAAGCCCUUUUGUUGGGAAAGAAAAGCAGCAGGUUAAUACCCCGCUGUUCUGACGGUACCCAAAGAAUAAGCACCGGCUAACUUCGUG
rnacentral:rRNA from 1 species